rnacentral:rRNA from 1 species
GUUUUCCUAACAAACCAACCUCACAGCACUGUGCGAAAGCCGAGAGCGGGAAUCCCAAGUGCUUGCUGGAAAAAAAAGCCUGUUUUUAUGUCUAAAAAGCAUGGACAGAGGGGGCUGGGUAAAACGGGGGCCAGCCGCCGCGGUAAUACCUGCAGCUCAAGUGGUGAUCGUUUUUAUUGGGCCUAAACCGUUCGUAGCCGGUUUGGUAAAUGCCUGGGUAAUUGCGGGGAGGCUCAACUAUCCAAUUCGGGGAGGACUGCCACACUGGAGGGGGGAAGAAGUUUUUGUAUCUUCCGGGGGGGGGGGGAAAUUUUGUUUCCUAGGGGGACCCCCAGUGGGAAAAGGUUCUAGGCGGACCGGGGCUGACGAGGAGAAAAAAAACCCCGGGGCGCAAACCGGUUAAAAUCCCCGGGUGUUCUUGGUGUGCACCCUUCUUGGCUUGAGGUAAGUUGGUCCCGAACCCAAUUAGGGUCGGAGAGAAGUUGUUAAACAAACUCACUGGAAAGUACAUUCCCAAAAUUAAACCUGAAGGGAAUGGGGGGGGAUCACUUACCGGGUGGAGCGUGCGGUUUAAUUGGUUCAACGCCGGAAAACUCCCGGAGGGGACGGUUAUUUAUAGGCAGGGUUGAGGACCUGGCUUGAUUUCCCCAGGGGGGGGGAUGGCCCCUUUUAGUUUUAACGAAAGGCCUCCUUUUAAUCAAAUACCAACAAAACACCCCCUCUUAAUAGAAACAAUAAACCCCUUUUGCCCUUGGGCCCGCUGGGGAAAGUCAAAGAAUGGCAGGCCACGUAGUCCCCUUCCCUGAAACUUCGGGGUACACCCCCUUAAAGGGCUGGGACAUGGACUUCACACCCCAAGGGGAGGGUAUUUGAAAAUUUUUAUUUUUGGGAUGUGGGGUUGAAACACCCCCAAAAACUGGGAACCGAAGUAUUCCCUGAUUUACCUCUUCGGGGGAAAAUGGCCCUGUCUCUUUGCAACACCCAAAGGGAGAUUUCGUUUUAUCCUGCUGGAAUUGGGGCCCUUAAUGAGGGGGUUUUUUUGUAGUCCUGGGGGGAAACCAUUGGGCCCUUCUUUUUUUCAUCGGAGUAUUACCCUAGUUUAAGGAAGG